GCGGCGGUGGCCGAGUGGAUAUGACGUCCGACUUUCAAUUCGGAGGGCGCGGGUUCAAAUCCUGGCUCGUACCAAUGAGUUUUUCGGAACUUAUGUACGAAAUAUCAUUUGAUAGGAGGCCUGUGCCCAGCAGUGGGACGUAUAUAGGCUGAAUUAUUAUUAUAUUUUUAUUA